AAGGCAGAGAUGAGAGAGCGAGAGAGGGGAAGAGGCGCUCGAGCGGUGAAGGAGCGGAGGCGAUUCCCGUCAUUCAUGUCGAUUCUGAGAUCCCCUUCCCUUCGAGCUUGAUUUCUCCUCCCUUGCUCUUCGUUCCUCGGCUGCCCCAGUUGGUUGUUCUCUUCUCUCUCUCUCUCUUCCCCGUGUGAUCUAGGUUUCUCCUCCGUUUCUGCUAGUUUCGAUUCGAGAUCCAUGUAUGUUCUGGUGUUUGAUUGAUGGAUUGUGUAUGUUCUUGCCCGUGUUUGGUGUAUGUGCUCUUGUAGAUUUUUCCCAUGGCUCCCGAUGUGUUUGUGUAAGUUCUAUGAAAUUGAUGUGGUUCCUCUGCUUAGGUUUUUAGCUCUUUCAUGUCUGAAUCCCCUCGGGUGUAGGCGCUGGUAUGUGUUUCGUUUCCUGUAGUCGCUGGUAGGGGUCUAGAUUUAGGGUUUCCGUUGGGUUUUGUUCUGGUUGGAGUAUGAUUCGUGUGUAAUGCUUCAUGUGUUUGGGUUAGUGAUUUUGCUCUAGUGGGAGUCUCUGUAAUGCUUAAUGUGUCUCGUCCUUGGGAGUAUGAUUCUUCAGUGGAUGUCCCUGAUUGUGCUAUUCUGUAAUCUCAUGUGUUCUAGCCCUGCAAUUGCCCCCUAUGUUUUCAGUCUUAGAUCCCUCCAGUAUUAGAGUGUAAGGUUAGGUUCAAGUGUUAUUAGUCAUGUAUUUGGCAGCAUUUUCCAUGUGCUUACCCGGUAAUAUUUAUCUGAUUUUGCGGUGUAAUUCCCAUGCUUAGUGCCUGUAUUUUGUGGAAUUACACUAUAUUACUUCUUUGCACUGUAAUAUUUAUCUGAUUUUGUGGUGUAAUUCCCAUAUUUAGUGCUUGUAUUUUGUAGAAUUACACUGUAUUACUUCUUUGCACUGUAAUUCACCUGAUUUGCAGUGUAAUUCCCAUGCUCAGUCAUUAUAUUUUUUUAGUUAUAUUACAGUGUAUUUACCUCAGAAUUCCACUGUACUUCUGAUGAAUUUCAUGUAGGCUUCUUCAUCACACUGUAUUAUUCCCUUGAUUUACUGUGUAAUUCCCAUGCUUAGUAACUAUUUUUUUGGAUAUAUUAAUGUGUAAUAUUCCCAUAUUUACGUUUUGUAGUUCCCUUGCUUCAAAUUUGUAAUUAUGGUUGUACUGUAAUUCCCAUGCCCAGUCAUUGUAUUUUUUAGUUAUAGUGAAGUGUAAUUUUCCUCAGGUUUCUUGUGUAACUCCCAUGAUUUUCAUGUAUGCUUCUUCAUCACUCUGUAAUAUUUCUCUGAUUUACUCUGUAAUUCCAAUGCUUAGUCACUGUAUUUUUUGGAUAUAUUAUGGUGUAAUGUACCCAUAUUGUAAUUCCAAUGCCUCAUUUUUGUAGUAAAGCUCAUAUUGUAAUUCCCAUGCAUCGUCACUGUAAUUUUCAGCUAUAUUACAGUGUAAUAUGGCCUAGUAUUACAGUGUAAUUUUGGGGUAUUGUACUCUGUAUUUGCCAUGCUUCUCCUAUGUAAUUCCUGUACAACAUUAGUGCGUCUUAUUUGCAACCAUAUAGGUCCUGAUAAGUUUUCUUAUUCUUUGUUGUUAAUGUAGUAUUUGAUUUAGGAUUUAUGUAGCAUUGUUUAAGAGUGUUUUGGUUUUGUAGUUUGAGGAGGGUCCUGGCAACCAGUUUUUUCAUGUUUAAUGGGUAGGCUAUGGAAAGUCUAUCAUUAGGGCGUUCCGUUAGCAUCUUCUUUUGAGAGUGCAGAUUGUUUUGCUGACGAACCAUUUGCGCCUGUCAACGGAACUUUCAGGAACCUCUCAAUGUCUUCUUCAUCGAGGUAUUCAUUGUCUGCGUCUUGUUCAUGGUCAGUAUCUUCAGGGACCUGCAAAAUUAUUCUUUUUGUGUCCGUUUUAAUUUUCAAACAGGGAUUAGGUUCUGUUGUGCCUUCUUCGCUUGCUGUAGCUUCAUGAUGCAUUUCCUGCAAUGUCUGCAGUGUAAGUGAGAUGUUACUUUCUCUCUUUUUUCUCAGUUCAGAUAUGAGUUAUUCAGUACUAGUUUUCCUCUCCAUCUUGUGUAAUGUUUGCAGCACCAUCUCCCGAAUGUACCCGUGAGCGUCAUGAUUUCUUUUAAUUUAAAACUUCUCCUUCUCACAGAUUUGUAGCUAUGCAGUAUUUGAAUUUCCAUUUUACCUUGUAGAUAAUGUCUGAAUUGAGGAGCGCUGUGAAUGAAAAUGAUUCCCGCAAAAAAAAAUUUGUUAGCAUGAAUGUAUUGUAUAUAGCAUUUUCCUCUAUUGAUUUUUGCAAUCAAUUUGCUAGUAUUUAUACAUGUCUCACAUUUAGAAUGAGUUCUUCUUGUGACAUUGACAGUAGAUCCUCUCCAGUCACUCUUCCUAUCAUGCUCCCCAUCUGCAAUAUUGAAGAUUAAAUGUGAGAGAAUUUUAAUUUUGUAAGCGGCAAACUGUUAUCAGUGAUAGCUCUUUUCUCUGCAUGUAUUUCCUAAGCAGAAAACUGUCAAUAUUAACUUUUUAAGCUCCAAACUACAAAUCAUUUUUUAAGGAGCAAAGUGUGAGUUCCUGGUUUUGGACACUGUAAAUCCUGGGUGGCAUGAGGUGUUUUUACAGUGUAAAUCGGUAGUUUGAAUGGUAAAUGUUGGGUGCUUACUAUGUUUAUACAAUGUAAAUUCCAAGGUCUUUGGACUGUAUUUGUAAUGUAUUAAGAAUGUAAAUUCCAGUGCCAUUAUACUGAAUUUACAGUGUAGAUAUAUGCAUUUUUACAGUGUAAAUUCCAGGGUUUUAGUACUGAAUUUACAGUGCUAAAACUUGGGUAUUUACCUUUACCGUG